GGAACUGAGAGCUGCAGAUGGAGCACAAGAGAAAAGAUACAGAACUGCAGCAGCAUCUUCGUAGCUUGGACUUCGUUUUGUGCGAAAAGUGGUUGCUGCUUGUAGUCAUUUAAUUGCAGUGUUUCAUCAGCUGGUGUCUUGAGCAGCAACCUCUGGAAACGAAGGGCUAAAAACCGGCACUGCUCUCCCAAAUUAUCUGGUCCCUUUUAACUUCAUAUUUCAGCUGGUUGACUAAAAUCCCUUAUUUUGGCUGCUGGUCCCUUAUUUUCAAAUCUGCAAGUUGACAGUUAUAGUCAGGAAUGAUGGGAGUUGUAGUUUGGCAAUGUCUAGAGGGCCACAGGUUCCCCACAUCUGAGCUAGAGGGGGCGGGGACCAAAACAGGAGAAGGAAGUUCUCGUGCAACAUGGGUAGUAUUCUAUGGCCUCUACAUGGGAGCAUGGCUUAGUGCACUUGAAGUUCCCUAUAGUCUGCUAGGCCAGAAAUGGAAAAAGACAAAGUCCCUACCAGAGAGGAAAGGCAAGCUAAGCAGAUGGACUAUGCUGAAAUGGCAACGCUGACUGGAAAACUCAGGAACCAAGAGGACAAAAACUUUUUAAAAGAAUGGGGGGAAAUUACAACUGAUCUAGGAGGCCACUGCAAGCAGAUGGAAACAUUAGCAGGAUUCUGUGGGUAAAACCUCAGCGCCUAGGACUUGCCGAUCGUCAGGUCAGCGGUUCGAAUCCCCGCGGCGGGGUGCGCUCCCGUCGUUCGGUCCCAGCGCCUGCCAACCUAGCAGUUCGAAAGCACCCCCGGGUGCAAGUAGAUAAAUAGGGACCGCUUACCAGCGGGAAGGUAAACGGCGUUCCGUGUGCUGCGCUGGCUCGCCAGAUGCAGCUUGUCACGCUGGCCUCGUGACCCGGAAGUGUCUGCGGACAGCGCUGGCUCCCGGCCUAUAGAGUGAGAUGAGCGCACAACCCUAGAGUCUGGCAAGACUGGCCCGUAUGGGCAGGGGUACCUUAACCUUUAUCUUUAAUGUUAAAAAUACUAUAGUUAAUAUGGAUUGUUAUAAAAAUUAGAGUAUUGAAGAGUAUGCAGUUCUAAAUGUUGAAAAUAGGACCCAAUGGAGGGAGUGGGGGGGGGGAAUUGUGAGAUUCAGAGUGAUCUCAAUAUAUGUAUAGGUACUUGGACUGUUAUAAUGUUAUAUUUGUAAAAUCAAAUAAAAAUGAUUAAAAGAAGUUCCCUAUAGUCAAUCAGGAAGCCAAACAGUUGGAGACAAGGGAUUUCCUUGUACAGUUCAGUCUUCCAGUGGACUGGCAUAUGACCAUAUUAUAACUUAAAUAAUAAUAAUAAUAAUAAUAAUAAUAAUUUUUUAUUUAUACCCCGCCCUUCCUGGUUCAGAAAACCAGGCUCAGGGCGGCUAACAACAAAUUCAAAACACUUAAUUGUAAAAGCAGCAUAAAAUACAGUAUAAAAACAGGAAUAACAAUAAAAUUCAAAGUUCAGAAAUCAAUUUGGGGAAAAUCCAUCUAACAAGCAUUAGAUAGUCACCAGGGCUAGCUGGUGGAAUUAGUCCUACUUGGGCCGCGAGGAGGCCAGGGGAGAAUUAGCUGUGGGGUCUCAGAGUGGGUAAUCUUCAUAAAAGGGGUGGGGGAGGGAAGAGAAGGGAAAUAAAAGAUCAGGCUGAAUUCAAAUUAAAGGCCAGGCAGAAUAGCUCUGUCUUACAGGCCUGACGGAAGGAGGUUAAAUCCUGAAGGGCCCUAGUCUCAUGGGACAGAGCAUUCCACCAGGUUGGAGCCAACACUGAAAAGGCCCUGGCCUUGGUGGAGGAUAGUCUGACUUCCUUAGGGCCCGGGACCACUAAACUAUGGUUAUUCAUGGACCUUAAGGUCCUCUGCGGGGCAUACCAGGAGAGGCGGUCCCUUAAAUAUGAGGGCCCUAAGCCACAAAGGGCUUUAAAGGUCAAAAUCAGCACCUUGAACCUGACCCUAUACUCAACCGGGAGCCAGUACAACUGGUAAAGCACUGGGUGCAUACGCCUCUUUUCUUUUGACUUGAACAGGGGCAAACCAUGUUAAGCGCUUUGCCACUUUAAAUACUGAGAUGUCUGCUUUGAGCUCCCAAAUAGUCUCCUUUUCCAGGUUUCUGGUUUAAAUCCAACAUGUAAAUUCCAAAGUUCCAAAUUACUUAAUUUCUCCCAGUCAUGUCAUUGUGAUCUGGCUAUAGCCGGAGCCAAUGGCUCUUCGCAAAAAGCUGUGGCUUGUUAAUACUUGCCAUGGGGUUAACAGUGCCGCCUGGGCUGAGGAUCUGCAGAAUAAUUCACAAUAUGCCCCCGCUUCAUAACUGAAAGCAAACAACAGUGAGGUUGAAACACAGAACCCAAGCCACCUCCCUCUGACUUUGGCCUCCAGCUGUGAGUCAAACUAAGGUGCAUGUUUGGAAUAACUCAACAGUGUUUAUUCUGUUGGGUGGGGAAUGUACUCUGGGAAACAGACUUAUCUAGAUGUGCAGCCCAGACUUAUCUAUGCAUGUUACCUGCUGAUUUCAAUAGAAAGUUUAGGACUGUAGGAUUAUGCCCAUUUCACAACUGAUGCAAUUAUACGACACACACACAUACUUGCAGUAAGCAUCGUUGAACAUAAUGGGUUUUGCUUCUGAGUAAACUUGCUUAGCAAAGGGCAGCAAAUCAACAUUGCAUUUACUGCAUGGCACAUUAACCAUAAAGCAACACGGAUUGCAACAUAAAUCCAAUUUUGUGGUGCUUUUUUUCCUGCUGGCUGUACCAUAUUCACAAGCGACACAAUCCAGACUGAGGAGGGUUUCUCUCUUUUCUUUUGGUUUGCUUAUUUUUAGCACCGCUCGUGAAAAAUGAUCUCACUGUUUGGGCUUCAAAGGUUAAAGAGCUUCCAAAACAGCUUCCCUUUGAACGUAAAUGCCAGCGACACAUCUUAUUCUGCAUUUAAGUGGCAAGAAUUUAGCCGGCGUUUUUUGAUAGAAGUCACACUCCUUUAAAAAUGUAAACGAAUCAUUCAAUAUAUUCAUACAAUAUAUUAUUGCUGUGGCUUGGCAUAUGUAUGUGUGUUAACUGCAUUGGCGGCCAAGUUGCAAACAGGCAACUGAGACAUGGUUAUGCCACGCUUUUAUCUUUUAUGCCCCAGGAGCGUUUGUGCCAAAUCCCCAAUGGUGUGAAAUCUCUGUUGUUUUCUCAGCCAGCUGCUGCGUUCUUCUUUUCUGUUUUACCAACUGCAUCUUUUAUUGGGCAAGCUUAUGGAAGGGUUGGUAGCUCUGUGUUGCAAUGUCUCAUGUACAUAAAUGGCCAAACCUAGCUGGAUCUGUGCCAGUUCUAUUUUCAAACAGCUUGUGGGCCAUCCAAGGUGGGCAGGGGAAAUGAUCUCAUUGUCUUUUUCAGCAUGGGGGAAAUGGAGGGAAAUGAUCGCAUUGCCUUUUUGGACAUUGUUGGUAAUAAAAGACGACUGCGAUGCAACUGUAAAACAUGGUGUUUGACCAAAGGGCCAAUAGAACUAAUGUCUGCAGACUCAAAUAGAUAGUGGCUGUUUCUCUGCCUGUGGGUAACUUAUUUUUACUUAUGGGCACCCUCAACCCACUUCCCAGGAUUUUUGGGGGGGAAGCCAUGACAGUUAAAUUAGUAACAAUACCAAUAAAAAUUUACAAUGUACAACUGCCUUCUAAUCGGUGUCGGUACCAGGCUACUUUGUGCCCUGGGUUAACUAUUUGCACUCCCCCCCCCAAAAAAAAGAUCGCUAACUUCAAUUUUCAAAAGCAGCUGCCUUGUAGAAAAAAUGAAAGGCACAGAAUUUGAAACUGCUAAACUUAUUUUCCAUUGCAAGGAUAAGUAAUACAACCAUACUGUAUUUGGUUAUCUUUCUCAAAUGCAAUGUGUGUGUGUGUGUGUGUGUGUGUGUUCUAGCACACAAAUCAUUUUGUGAAUUGUGAUGUUAACAUUUAAGUCUUGCAAUUUCAGGCACAUCCAAAUCUCACUUUGUGUGGCUUUUCCUUUGCCAAUUUUGUCACCUGUUCCUUCAGGUCAAGUGCUGAUGCCAUUGUCCUCAGAGACACCCCCAUCCCUGAGGGGGAAAACUUGUGACAAUGUAAUCACCAUCUAAUACAAUUUAUUUGUAUUACUAGGUGCUUUGGCAGAGAGAGGGCGAGGCGAGGCUGCAGCUCUGCAUCUUCCAUAAUAUCGAGUUCCGGCUGAAGUUUCAGUUCAAAAAUGCAGCAAGAUUUCGGGAGGCAGGACAAGCAGUUUGUGCGAACCAAGUCCCUCAGCAGGGCUAGCAAUGGAUGUCUUGAAUGCCUGCAGAAUGAAGUGAAGAAUGGAAGCAGUCACUGGGCGUAUUCUGAAGUUGGAGGGCACAGAACAGCUAAAUCACUAUUCACUAAGCUGUGGCACUACACUGUCAGAUGAUAAUGCCAUUUUGAAGGUAAUCGACUGGGAUCAGAAAUAGGAACAAUGAAAUGGAAUCAGGGACUUUGUGUUUCAUUUCCAUCCCCUUGGUCCUCUCUGGUGUUAGGUUUAACCAAGACCCCAUAGCUGAGAAAACCGCAUUCUUUUGGCAUGGUGAUUAAUGCUUCACUUGACAGGAAUUCUUGCUGGCUGAAACUCAACUAUGCACUCAGGUUUCUAUUUGGCUGUUUUCAGCAUGGAAACGUCCUACCAAGACCGAUUCCAAACUUCGCACAAUAACAACAUGGCUGGCAAUUAAAAAUGUACAUGCUAAUUGCUGGACAUAAAAUGCCUCAUUUACUUAUUUGCACACGAAGCAGGGGCAGAAGUAGGGGAGGAAUCCAGAUUCUUGAAAUGUAGAGAGAUGUCAGAACUUGGUCCAAAACAUCCAAAAUUCUGUAGCCACAGAUGGUACGCUCAUUCUUUGUUUAUGCAAAUCCGCAUAAACUAACGGCAUCGUUCAUUGACUUGCAACACCUGGACUGUGGCAGAAUCUGUAAAUUUCUGGGAAGAAAAUAGUAUGGAAGAAUGUGCAGGACAAACUGGCAUAGCAAUCACACCCAACUCCCCUGGCAGGCUGGAGGUUGGGUUUCCCUUGGUGGUUCCUUGGCUGCUGCCUCCCACCUCUUCGUCCUGCCAGUCCCUGACCCCCCGCCCCCAUCCCUGAAGUUGCGUGCUCUCUUCCUUGGCUUAUGGGUGCUCAUGCUGUGUUGUGUACACACACACACAACAUGCACACAAUGACAUGCAGCCCUUUUAAAAACAACAACAACAAAGUUUUUUGGGUUUUUUCACAUUUUAACUUAACCAUUUCAAACAUUAAAAUACAAGGUUCUUUUGAACCUUCGGACCUCCCUCCCUCCUUCCAUGGGUUCUAUGUUUAAGAUUAAAUUUGCUGGAUCUUUUACCAUUAUCCAUCUGUUAAAUAUCCAUAAUUAUCAUAAAUAAUUCCACAUUACAAGUGUCAAUGCCA
rnacentral:lncRNA from 1 species